rnacentral:rRNA from 1 species
CUCAGUUCAGAUUGCAGGCUGCAACCCGCCUGCAUGAAGUCGGAAUUGCUAGUAAUCGUGGAUCAGCAUGCCACGGUGAAUACGUUCCCGGGUCUUGUACACACCGCCCGUCACACCAUGGGAGCCGGUAAUACCCGAAGUCAGUAGUCUAACCGCAAGGAGGACGCUGCCGAAGGUAGGAUUGGCGACUGGGGUGAAGUCGUAACAAGGUAAC